AUUUAUUUAUUUUAUCAUGAAAUGCUCCCUCAAAAAUCCCAUCUUCUUCCACUGCACUUCAAGUUUUAGAGUGUCGUUUUUUAAUAGAAGAAGAAAAAAAAAAAAAAGAAUCAAGUGAGUGGGAGGAAAGAACUUCGGUUGCAUGGUGGGGAUGAGUUAAGUGAAGUGAACUUGGGGUUCUUGGCUUUCUAAGGAUCUUGGAAGCAAUUUAAGCCUAAGAGUUGUACACUGGCCGGGGAUUGUGUGAAAGUUGAAAUGGUUACUGGGGGUAAUGCCACUCGCGAGAAAGGCUCAAAGUGAUCAGAAACUCCCAGUUUGCAAACUGCGCUGCCUGGGCCUGCGGAGAGGGAUAAGAUGUAUAACCGGGC
rnacentral:misc_RNA from 1 species